rfam:Myotis lucifugus cont2.56727, whole genome shotgun sequence.
GGUGGUUCUCGGGUGAUGCACUCUGGAAUCGGGCUCCCUCCUCUCUGGUUCCAGAUGCAUCACCCAAGAACUGCU